UCUUGCACAAUGGAGGAAACUCUGAUGCAGCGAUGCCGCGUGAGUGAAGAAGGCCUUUGGGUUGUAAAGCUCUUUUGUAGGGGAAGAUAAUGACUGUACCCUAAGAAUAAGGUCCGGCUAACUUCGUGCCAGCAGCCGCGGUAAUACGAAGGGACCUAGCGUAGUUCGGAAUUACUGGGCGUAAAGCGCGCGUAGGCCGUUGAGUUAGUUAAUUGUGAAAUCCCAAAGCUUAACUUUGGAACUGCAAUUAAAACUGCUCGACUAGAGUUUGAUAGAGGAAAGCGGAAUACAUAGUGUAGAGGUGAAAUUCGUAGAUAUUAUGUAGAACACCAGUUGCGAAGGCGGCUUUCUGGAUCAACACUGACGCUGAGGCGCGAAAGUAUGGGUAGCAAAGAGGAUUAGAUACCC
rnacentral:rRNA from 1 species